UACAGAGACCUCGAGCGUUAGGCGGAAUCACUGGGCUUAAAGCGUGUGUAGGCGGACUUCUAAGUGUCUUGUGAAAUCCCACGGCUCACCCGUGGAACUGCUGGGCAUACUGGGAGUCUUGAGCCACCUAGGGGCGAGCGGAACAAAUGGUGGAGCGGUGAAAUGCGUAGAUAUCAUUUGGAACGCCAACGGAGAAAUCAGCUCGCUGGGGGUGUGCUGACGCUGAGACACGAAAGCCAGGGGAGCAAACGGG
rnacentral:rRNA from 1 species